rnacentral:hammerhead_ribozyme from 1 species
AUCCAGAUGACGAGCCCCAAAUAGGGCGAAACGCAUGUCUUACAU